GAGACCCACGCCAACAGUUGCCAGCACGUUCUCCGGAAUGGUGGGGACACUGUUGGGACCGCCUCUGCUAAAGAGGAGGAAGGGAUGGGCAACGGUAGGUCAGCAUGCCCCGAAUUACCCGGGCUACACGCGGGCUACAAUGGACAGGACAAUGGGAAUCGACACCGAGAGGUGAAGGCAAUCCCCUAAACCUGCCCUUAGUUCGGAUUGUGGGCUGCAACUCGCCCACAUGAAGCUGGAAUCCGUAGUAAUCGCGGAUCAACAUUCCGCGGUGAAUAU
rnacentral:rRNA from 1 species